GGUAUCCUACCUCCUUAAGUGAAAUAUUAUGUUCUUUCUAGAGAAUAACUCUUGUUCUAACAAUUCAUGCCUUAAGACUUUUAAAGUGGACAUACCUGAGUGACCAUCUUUGUGACAGUGAUAAGGUGACAAUAACAUAAAAUUCUGACAAUAUGCCAGAAUAUCAAAACAAUUAUCAUCCUGAUUUUAACAGAAAUGUUAUGAUGGAAAAUUUACAAGGAGGCUUUAAGUAACUCACUGGAGGAAAAACCAUGAGGUAGAGUUCUACAAGUUAAAGACAUUGAAAAUUGAGCAGAACUUUCCAAAAGAUAAAGUCCUACUGCAAGAACCUGUAAAAUUUAAGUUCCCUGAGGGAAAUUAUUCCAACCCUUGGAUCACAAGGUUUGCUUGUAAGAAGAAAACAUUUCGACUGUCGAUUGCGCUGAUUGGCAACAGGAUAAAAGGUGGUGAUGUUCCAACAGAGUGAUGAUUCAAAAGGUAAAGGGAAGUGGAGAGGCUCAAGGUGUUGUGAUGUGAAACUGGUUUUGACUGUAUAUAUCGAAAUUUGUUUAAAUAAAAUAUUAAAGAUUU